rnacentral:rRNA from 1 species
AAUCAACGCUGGCGGCGUGCCUCAGACAUGCAAGUCGAACGAUUAAAGCUCUCAUCGGAGAGUGCAUAGAGUGGCGCACGGGUGAGUAACACGUAAGUAAUCUACCUUCGAGUGGGGAAUAACGUCCGGAAACGGACGCUAAUACCGCAUAAUGCAGCGGCAUCGUAAGAUGACAGUUGUUAAAGAUUUAUCGCUUGAAGAGGAGCUUGCGGCAGAUUAGCUAGUUGGUAAGGUAAUGGCUUACCAAGGCUACGAUCUGUAACCGGUCUUAGAGGACGGUCGGUCACACUGACACUGAAUAACGGGUCAGACUCCUACGGGAGGCAGCAGUCGGGAAUUUUGGGCAAUGGGCGAAAGCCUGACCCAGCAACGCCGCGUGAAGGAUGAAGUAUUUCGGUAUGUAAACUUCGAAAGAAUAGGAAGAAUAAAUGACGGUACUAUUUAUAAGGUCCGGCUAACUACGUGCCAGCAGCCGCGGUAAU